UACGUAGGGUGCAGGCGUUGUCCGGAAUUAUUGGGCGUAAAGAGCUCGUAGGCGGUCUGUCGCGUCGGAUGUGAAAAAUCCAGGGCUCAACCCUGGACCUGCAUUCGAUACGGGCAGACUAGAGUUCGGCAGGGGAGACUGGAAUUCCUGGUGUAGCGGUGAAAUGCGCAGAUAUCAGGAGGAACACCGGUGGCGAAGGCGGGUCUCUGGGCAUUCCCUGACGCUGAGGCGCGAAAGCGUGGGGAGCAAACGGG
rnacentral:rRNA from 1 species